rnacentral:rRNA from 1 species
AGUUCGUGGAUUGAUUUGUCUGGUUAAUUCCGAUAACGAACGUGACUCAAACAUAUUAACUAGAAUAUUGUCAGUAGUCAUAUGUUGAUGGUAUUAUUUGUUCGAAAGGGAAUUUAACAAGCAAUUGUUGGUUAACUUUUACUCUUAAUAUCCGGAGUAUGACCUGAUAGUAAGUCAACAUUUGUUGGUUGAUAACUGCUUAAUAGCACAAUUUGUGUUCAGCAAAAUGAGAUUGAGCGAUAACAGGU